CCAUAUAGCUGGAAUAUUGCUGAGUGCGGCGUAAAACUAAACUCACUCAUUUCUGGUGCCCCCCUGCCGUGAUGUUGCUGGAAUAUUGCUAAAACUAAAAGUGGCGUAAAACCAAACUCACUAAAGAGAUUUUGGUAUCAGCUGAGGGGCCAUUAUCAUUGGUAAACAUGUUCUACAGUGACAGCUGAAAUAUUGCUUGGUUAUAUUAUAUUUUGAUGUGAUCAGGAUAAAAUUUAUUGGACCACCUGUACACAACCAUGCAGCCAAAGUGGUGUUUCCAAAGUGAAAAAUACACAUUGAUCAGUGAAAUUUAUUAUUGUUGACGUUUUUGGUAAUAUUCUCAUUAUCUCUGUUCAGUGAAACUGGUCAGGUUUUAAUCAUGUUGUAACUGACAUUGUUGUUUUAAUGUUUGAUUAUUACAGUAAAAAAUAACCUGUAGGGUAAAAUAAGUUUAGCCAUUUCAUUUAUGAGAUACCUUGUCGUGUAUUCAUUUUUGUGGAAGCCAUUUACCCAGUGUCAUUUAGAAUCCUGGUGUCUAUUCUGUGUAAUACUGCCAGUGUCAACUCACCUUACCCAAUCCAAAAUUCUGUAGACAUGUGAGAUGAAUAUUUGCAGAAAUGGUGAUUAUCAAUCACGAAAAUAUCAAUGUUUUAGAGACUUGGCAUUUGACAGAGGUUUGGCAUUUAUUCUUUUAACAGCACAUAUGAUAUGGAGUCCUUUUAUCGUAGUCGCUACAAAUUUUUGCCUCAAACUACGUCAAUACGAUUGUGCUAGAAAUUCUACAAAAUUUGAAGAAAAUUAAUUAAAAUUCGGAUAUAUAGACUAAAACAUAUAUUUUCAUUGAUUAAAUACAUUUUCAGACUUCAUUAACCUUCCAUUCAUCAAUUUAAUGACAUAUUUAAACUGGAAUCAUUGCAAGUAACAAAAGUAACUUUGGGGAAAUUGUUUAUCAGAAAUCUGAAGUUCAUUUCAAUACCUUUGCGAUUUGCCCCACUUAUUGUGUACCGGCGGAAUAUGACGAUCCUAUCGGACCACUUAUUGUGUACCGGCGGAAUAUGACGAUCCUAUCAGAAUGAUUUAACCAUGUGACUGUUCCUUCCGUUCGGUUAUACGAAAUCAGUAUGUGAAAUUAAAGCUUCACUCUUGAUUAGUGUCAUAUUGUCUUUCUCAAAGUCCAACAUGUUUUUAGAUGUUU